rnacentral:tRNA from 1 species
GGGGUUGUGGUUCAGUGGUAGAAUGCUUGCCUAUCAUGUGUGAGUCACUGAGUUCAAUCCUCAGCACUCUG